rnacentral:rRNA from 1 species
UACGUAGGCGGAAGAUUAAGUCAGUGGUGAAAUCCUGCAGCUUAACUGUAGAACUGUCAUUGAUACUGGUUUUCUUGAAUUUAGUUGAGGUAGGCGGAAUGUGUAAUGUAGCGGUGAAAUGCUUAGAUAUUACACAGAACACCGAUUGCAAAGGCAGCUUACUAAACUAUGAUUGACGCUGAGGUACGAAAGCGUGGGGAGCGAACAGGAUUAGAUACCCUGGUAGUCC